UCAAUGAUGACGGUCAAAGUGCAUGUGGAAUAUUGUGGUGGGUGAGGUUACGGACCUCGCUUCCAGGAACUUCGUCAACAGAUUCUGGCUGAGGUUCCGGAGGCUGAGGUCACGGGGACUGUAGGAAGAAGAACUUCCUUUGAAGUCACUGUUGGGGAUACACUUGUGUUUUCUAAACUGAAGCUGAAUGCAUUCCCAGUUGCAAGUGAUGUUAUUGCCUGCAUCAGGGAGGUACAAAAGGGACAGAACCCCUCCAUCAUAGAGUCGGGCGAGUCAGCUGGUUGUACCAUUCUGUAGAGUUAUUCUGUUAUGAAAACAUCAGCAUUGACAUUUACUUGAAAGUUCCCAUGUUGUUACAUAUUUAAUAGCAGCAUUGAUGAAGGUUGAGGGAAAAAGGUCAGAGGUCAUCCCUCUCUCUGGAAGGUUUUGCUGUUCAAAUUUGUAUCAACAUGUUAGCUUUCUGAAAUGCAUAGAUAUUCAAGGUGUGUCUUUUUUUUUUUGAACAUUUUUAUUUUAUUGUAUGUGUUGUGAUAUAUCAUUAUGUAAACAGAGAACUUGAAAUACGUGUAAAUUACAUUCAUAUUCCAUGUAAUGAGUUGUUCCUUGUAAUGUCCUGAAUGUUAUUAUGUGUAGUUUCUCUUGUAAAGUUCAACUUUAAGCCUACAGUUAAGAUAAUGUGACACCAAAGAUACUACACAAAUUUUAUGUAUACAUGUACAAAUGUUUUUUUU